AGGGAGACAAGGUCCCUAUUUUCAGGGGCUGCUUAGUCCUCUGGCCAGUACCGGUGUGUCCUCUGCAGCGGAAGGUUGGAUCCAGGAGGAUGACUCCAGGUGUCAAGUUGCUUGCCUUCCUCCCGUGUUGCUCAUUUUCUCGCUGUCUGUCUCUCUAGUGUGUUGGCCAACGCUCUCUCUUAAUCUGUCCUUUCCUUUCCUUGUGCCAUCUCCCUUCUUAGGACACAGGCAGGCCUGCGAGGUGUGCAUCUCCACAGGUUAGGUCUUGAAAGCCCUGGAGUAGUAGGAGGGGACGAAAACCAUGCGGGGUAGUGGGUGCGAGAGUGGAGCAGUGACUGUCAGUGUUGAAUCGGUCUCUGUUCAAGUGGGGCUGAUGUAGAUGGGGUGGAAGAGGGAGGCAGGAUUGAGGGCAACGUUUCAAGUACCAUUAGAGCUGUGUGUAGAGAUGGCGCAUGCUUGGCUUUUGCAGCUGCACUUCCAGAGGAAUUGUCCAGGAGCUCGAGCCGGAGGAGAAACUGGCAGAGGUGGAUCUGAGCAGUUUGAACAUGGUUCUAACCAGACAGGAACAGUCCUCAGCUUUCUGCCUUCUGAAUAACUGGCUGUGAGUAAGAGUACCAAGGAAAAAUAAGUCACAUGUCAGAGUCUACUGCCCUCAUGCAAUGGAAAGUGAGUGAGAGCAGUGAGCCUGUGAGCAUCGUUCAUGCCAGGCAAGAGCCGUUCAUUUGGGAGCCAAGCAGAUGCCACUGUCAGUGAGAUAUGUGUCUGUUUUGCUGAGGGUUCUGUUAACAGCCCAUCUGACUCCAGGUACAGACACCCUGUUAGCUGGGGCUGGUUUGUCAGAAGAGUUUCCUGACUAGCUGGGGAUACAAGGGAGACAAGGUCCCCAUUUUCAGGGGCUUGUCAUUUCUCUGUUCACAAGCAGUGUGUCCUCCGCAGGAGAAGGUUGGAUCCAGGAGGAUGACUCCAGAUGUUUGCAGAGGAAUCGUCCAGGAGCCCUCG